rnacentral:tRNA from 1 species
ACCUACUGUUUAAUUUUGAAAGUUCUUUACGAACUUUAUAUAUGGGGGUGUAGCUCAGUUGGGAGAGCACUUGCCUUGCAAGCAAGGGGUCAGGAGUUCGACUCUCCUCAUCUCCACCAUUUAAGAGUAUAUUACUUAAAUCUUUGGUUUACUUAGUAGCCUCUUACAAUGCACUUAUAGCUUAAAUUUAUACAAGCUUUGUGCAUUAGCACUUUAAGCAACGGAAUUUAUUCGUUGGCGCUGUGCUUUAGCACUUUGAAAACUGCAUAUAUAUAUUUAGUGAUAUGACAUCUAAUUUGUAAUAUAUAAAGCUGAUAACUUUUUAAAAUUAUCGAAGUUGAUAGCUUCUAAUCUAUCAAACCCUUUUAACUGGUCAA